rnacentral:rRNA from 1 species
CGGGUGAGUAACGCGUGGGUAACCUGCCUCAUACAGGGGGAUAGCAGCUGGAAACGGCUGGUAAUACCGCAUAAGCGCACGGUAUCGCAUGAUACAGUGUGAAAAACUCCGGUGGUAUGAGAUGGACCCGCGUCUGAUUAGCUAGUUGGUGAGGUAACGGCCCACCAAGGCGACGAUCAGUAGCCGACCUGAGAGGGUGACCGGCCACAUUGGGACUGAGACACGGCCCAA